AUUGAACGCUGGCGGCAGGCCUAACACAUGCAAGUCGAGCGGAGCGACGGACCGGUGAGUAAUGCCUAGGAAUCUGCCUGGUCUUUGGGGAUAACGUCCUGACACGGGCGCUAAUGCCGCAUCCGAGCAGAUCAGCCUAGGUCGGAUUAGCUAGUUGGUGGGGUAAAGGCCUACCAAGGCGAGGAUCCGUAACUGGUUUGAGAGGAUGAUCAGUCACGAGGGAACUGAGACACGGUCCAGACGCCUACGGGAGGAAGAAGUGGGGAAUAUUGGACAAUGGGCGAAAGCCUGAUCCAGCCAUGCCGUGUGUGUGAAGAAGGUCUUCGGAUUGUAAAGUACUUUAAGUUGGGAGGCGAUACCAACAGAAUAAGCACCGGCUAACUCCGUGCUAGCAGCCGCGGUAAUAC
rnacentral:rRNA from 1 species